UGCAGAUACACGUGUAGAAACAUACACACACGUAAUGUACACAUAUGUAUAGUGCACAUAUGCACGCACUUGUACACACAUUUAGGCAUACACAUGCAUAUGUAGAUGCAUGUGUACAUGCAUGUAUACAUCUACACAUGCACAGACACACAUACAUGUACACAUGCAUACUGUGUACAUAAUACAUGUAUACAGAUACAUGUGCGCAUGCACGUGUACACACAUGCAUGCAUACACACAUGCAUUUGUAGAUAUAUGUGUAGGUGUGUACACACAACAUACACAUAUGCAUCCACACAUACACAUAUACAUAUGAGGUGGCACGUUCAGCUUUCAAGAGGACCAUCAGGGACUUUGUCACCUUGACAACUUUAGCCUUGCCUUCUAGUCACCUUGCCGGAACACUUGUGCCCGUGUUUUUCUAGCACUGUCAUAAGAAUACUUUUACCUAUCAAGGCAACUGGGGGUUAGGAGAGCUUUUUGCACAGGAGGCUACUUGGCUUUGUUUGAAAACUGAUGAUACAUGAGGAUUGGGGUGGUGAAUCACUCACAUGUUUCUUCAUAUGAAAAAUGAGGACUGUGGGAUUCUCUGGCUGGAUCUCAGCACCUAGAAAUGGAUCUGGGCAAUAGGAACUGCUCAGUAUUAGCUACCGCUUUGGUUGCCUUCUCCUUGCGGAAAGCUGGCCUCUCACACUGAAUUUGUAUCAUAGGCACUCAUGAGGGUCUUGACUGUAUCAAUAUCUGAUGAGAGAUUUUAGUGCAGUUCUGUUAUCGUGGCUGAUUUGCUCAUUUGGUAGCUAGCAUCCAGCUUCUUGUGAACAUUAAAAUAAAAUAAAAUAGAUUAUGGAGGAAUAGAAUACAGAUACGUAGUAAGGUAUUAUUUUCCAGACAAAAUGGAUUUGGAUAAAAGAAUCUAAUUAAGAACUUGUGCAUGAUUCUUUUAAAAUUCUUUUGAAUCCAUUUUUUUUUUUUUGGCCUGUUUUCAAGUCUCCGAUUUUUGUCACCCUUCUCACACCAGGUCAGAGAGAUAGCUAAUGGUCAGAAGGAAUCUUCCAGCAAUGACCAUAGCGCUUUCUCCUGCCUGCAGAUGCCUCUUUUUAUUCAGCCUUUAUGGGAAGUAGCAGCACCAUCCAGUUCUCAGAGAGCAAGCUCUGGAGUAACUGAGCUAACCCCAGUUACCCCAGUGGAUUUACAGAUUGAGGUUACAACCCAGCAGGGUUCUCUUCCUGGAAAGAAUAGCCUUCCCUCUAAGGUUUCAAAUAGACCCUGGGUGAGGAAGGAGCCCUAAACAGCUUGAAAAAUUGAAUGCUCUUUGGGCAAAGCAGGAAGCCGUCCUAUGGAAGAGCAUCAUUUGAGCAUAAAUCAGGUUAUCAGGACAAACAGAGUGUUCAGGAGGUCAAGAUGGUUAAGCAGAGACCCUGACCAGAAUGUCCGUGGCGGAGAGAAACAAUCUUGUUGGGAAAAGGAUGACAAUAAUUGGGGACUUAGAAUAAAGGCUAAAAAUGAUUCAAAGAGAAUGCAAAAAGAAUCAGGCACAAAUCGUUUACUAUACUCUGUUAUGCAAAUCUCACCUUACUAUGUGUUUGUAUUCUAUUCCUCCACAAUCUUUAUUUUAUUUUAAUGUUCAAAGAGACUUGUAGGUGCCAAUUAAAUGAACAAAACAGCCAGAGACAACAGAACUGCCCUAAAAAAAGUCCCGCAUCAGCUCUUGAGAGCAGGUUCCUUAAAGGUGAACAAUAUUCCACAUACAAGGACUUUUUCAGCACCAUGCAUUAGAAAUGGAAGUGAAUGUUUAUUAUUUUUUGUAUAAGUUGGUUGAUAUGGCUUUUCAGCUUCCCUCAGUAUCAUUAUCCAAAUUUUGUAGAUGACACUAAAGCUCAGAGGAGUUAAACCAUUUUCCUUAAAUCACAUAGCUUUAAAUAGGAAAACCAGAUAUGAAAAGCAGAUUUUUUUUCUAAAUUAAAAAACCAAAAACAAAAACACGUGAGCUCUUGCUUUACCCUAGCACAUAGUCUUGCCAUCUGUUUUCUCCACACCAGGUGAUUCCUGUAACAUUCAUUCACAUAACAAAUACAAAUAAAUGAGUGGAUUCAUUCAUCAGAUAUUAAUUCAGAAUCCCUUUUGUGCCUUCCAGAAAUCUGGACCAUCUCACAACCCCCAGAGAGUCUCAGCUACAAGGAACAAGUGAUAAUGCCAUCCCACUUUUAUAAACACACACACACACACAUGCAAUACACACACAAUCAUUUAAUCAUUUUUAAUUAUUUAAUUAUUUUUUAAAAAUCAGUGACACUUUAGCUGGGCAGGUCUAGAUAGGUCUUCUUUGCUGGGACGUGUCUUUUUCUGUCCUGGAAUACCCUAAACUUCACAUUUUGGCAGCGUGAGUUUUCCCUUUGUGACUUUCUCCUUCUUCCCUUUUUUCCUCCUUCUUUGCAGAGAAUGAGUAGCCACUGCACCUUGCCCUGCGCCAUCAAUGAGAAGAUCUGCUCUUAGUAGAGCCCUGCUUUCCCGCUGAAGGCCCUGAAAUCACCUGUGUUCCAGGCCACCCACUAAGGAUAAACAAAGCUUCCCUGAUAUGGGGAAUUAGCUCAAGUGGUAGAGCGCUUGCUUAGCAUGCAAGAGGUAGUGGGAUCAAUGCCCACAUUCUCCAAGCUUUAUUAUUUAGGUACCCAAACCCGAGUCAGUGUCUGAGAGCAAGACACUGCUCUCGGUGUCUUUGGUUCAAGACAUAGGAGCAGCAACAAUACAGGACUGGUGACAGCUUCCUGCUGGCAUUCAGUAUAGUGUAGAUCUACUGUGUAAUUAAUUUUCUGUUUCUUCGAGGAGCUGUGAAACCAAAGGACAUAUAAAACUGCUCUUUUCUCCCUGUUUCUGCCUGCAGCUUGGUCCUAAAUGUGAGACAAUUGUGAAAAGUGGAGGACAGAGCCACCUGGUUAAAUACAGCCCCAGCUUUCUGGUGAGAGGACUGAAACCAAGAUGUGUCAAGUAACUAGAAUGUGCCUGGACAGAUACUGUAGAAAGCAAAACCAUAAAGUUGUUCAUGAGCUUGUGGACGCACCUGCCAGCUGUGAAUAAGUGGCUCUAAUCCCGAACAACUUACCUAAAAAGAGCCUGAGAGCUGAACUGUGCAAUGGCCCACUUUCCAGUCCUCACUGACCACUGGGUUGCACACACUUUGGAGAUCUCUGAACAGCAGUGUCAAGGCUUUCAAAUAGAGUUAUCUUUGAAACGACAACACAUGAAAGUCUGGUUGGUACUUGGAGCUUAAAUACAAGGCAAUUGUGUGCCUGCAAAAACAAAAAUAGCAAUAUUAUCCUUAAGAUUUCAACAAGACACAGUGUCUCAUCACAUAAUCCAAAGAAGUCCAGGUUACAAGCCCCACAAUAUUCAGCAUUAUGAAAAAACAGGGAGAUCUUAAUUCACAUGGCAAAGAGAAUCCUCGAAUAACAAUAUUGAGAGGACACAGAUGUCAAAAUCAUCUGACACAUACAUUAAAGCAGAUAUUAUAACAAUGCUCCUAGAAUCGGGGAUAACAUUCGUGAAGUGAAUGGAAAGUUGGAAAGUCUCACCAAAUAUUUCGAAUACAUAAACACCAAUUUAAACUUAAGAAUUAAAAAAAUGUAUUAACCAAAACUCUUAGGGGAAAUAAAAAGCUUAAUUGGAGGAUCUCCAUAAUCGAAUGCAGAAGACUAAGGAAAAAGUCAAUGAACUUGAAAACAGAACACGAAUACCUACAUAAUCUGAACUAUAGAGAGAAAGGAGGAUUUUAUUGUCUCUGAACAGAGGCUCAGGCACAAAUAAAAAAUAACAAAUCCAACAUUCACAUUAUUGUAAUCUGGAAAGAAGAGGACAAAGUGGUCUUUGUGGGAUAAAACUUUGAACAAUUAAUAGCUGAAAAUGGUUCAAAUUUGUCAAAAGAUAUAAACCAGAUUUUUAAAGUUCAGUAAAUGUCAAUCAGGAUAAACCCAAAGAAACCCAUAGCAAGGCAUAUCAUAAUCAAACUGCUGAAAACUAAGAAAAUACAAAACAAUUUUGAAAGCAGCCAAAGGGAAAUGAAAGAGAAACUACCAAAUGAAUGAUUGUAGAUUUCGCAUCAGGAACCAUAGGGGCCAGAAAAAAUGUCAUAACAUUCGGAGACUACGGAAAAGAAGAGUGACUAAGAUCUCUGAAGAAGGGAAAAGCUAGAUGACUGGGCCACAAGAGGAAAAAAAGCAGCAAGACAGAGAUUUGUUGGUGCCAACUAAAUGAGCCCAACAGCCAGUGACAACAGAACUGCACUAAAAAAAGUCCCUCAUCAGCUCUUGAGAGCAGGUUCCUUAAAGGUGAACAAUAUUCCACAUACAAGGACUUUUUCAGCACCAUGCAUUAGAAAUGGAAGUGAAUGUUUAUUAUUUUUUGUAUAAGUUGGUUGAUACGGCUUUUCAGCUUCCCUCAGUAUCAUUAUCCAAAUUUUGUAGAUGACACUAAAGCUCAGAGGAGUUAAACCAUUUUCCUCAAAUCACAUAGUUUUAAAUAGGAAAACCAGAUAUGAAAAGCAGAUUUUUUUCUAAAUUAAAAAAAAAAAAAAAACUUGAGCUCUUGCUUUACCCUAGCACAUAGUCUCACCAUCUGUUUUCUCCAUGCCAGGUCAUUCAUGUAACAUUCAUUCACAUAACAAAUACAAAUAAAUGAGUGGAUUCAUUCAUCAGCUAUUAAUUCAGAAUCUCUUUUGUGUCUACCACACUAGGCUCAAGACUUCCCAGUGUCUUUGUCUCCUCUCCCUCAAAUCUCUCCACCCAAUGUCUUGACAAAUACUGUAGAUCCUUCCUGCACAGCAUCACCAGAAUGUUUUUCUUUCUUUUCAUUCACCUCUGUCAUCAUCCAUGCUAUGGUGUUUAUGGAGGAUGUAUUCUGCAGCAGGAAGUGUGAUGGGCACUGACGCUGCAGAAAGACUCCUGUUGUCCACCUCGGGAGCUGACACGAUAAAUGCGGGUAAAUCUCAAUCCUUUAAUAUCUUUAUGACUUCUUUCUCUUUCUCUUCAAUUUCUAUUUUCUCAUGUUCAAGCUCUGACAUUCAAAACUAAACACCUUUCUCUAACAUGUUGCUUUAAUUAUUUAAGCAUUCUGCCUGGGAUUUUUUCAAUUACUCUUGGGAGUUUUCAUAAAACUCUACCAACAUAUCUCCAAGUGGCCAGGCUUUUCAAUCACUGCUUCCCUCCGUGUGUAUUUCACACACACACACACACACACACACACACACAGCACUUAAAUUGAACAGGUUUAUUUCUUCACACAGGAAUUCCUACGAACAGCCCGGUUUUCUCCACCAUAUGUCCACUCCUUCUCUGCAUAGCUGAAUUUUGAUUCUUACACUCUAAUAUUUUACAUAUUCUUACACUCUGAUAUGAUCUUGUCUCUUAUUCUUUAUGGCUCUGCUCUGUAAUUUUGUUGUUGUUGUUCUGAGAUAUAGUUGGACAUGUAACUUGUACAUGACACACCUUAGCAAGGAGGCAACCUAUAUCUCAGAUGCAAGUGAAAGAAGCACUCCCCAGGGGUUUCCUAAGGUAGUGGUCAGCACGCUGGCUUCAUUCCUGAAAGGGCCUAGUUAUGAAAACAACAGGAGCUUUUUGCCUUCCAGAAAUCUGUACCAUCUCAAAAUCCCCAGAGAGUCUCAGCUACAAGGAACAAGUGAUAAUACUAUCUCACUUUUAUAAACACACACACACAACACACACACACAAAAUCAUUUAAUCAUUUUUAAUUAUUUAAUCAUUUUUUAAAAAUCAGUGACACUUUAGAUGGGCAGGUCUAGGCAGGGCCUCCUUUCCUGGAAUGUGCCUUUUUCUGUCCCGGAAUACCCUAAACUUGACAUUUUGGCAGUGUGAGUUUUCCCUUUUUGACUUUCUCCUUGUUCCCUUUCCUCUUCCUUCUUUGCAGAGAAUGAGUAGCCACUGCACCUUGCCCUGGGCCAUCAGUGAGAAGAUCUGCUCUUAGUAGAGCCCUGCUUUCCCGCUGAAGGCCCUGAAAUCCCCUGUGUUCCAGGCCACCCACUAAGGAUCAAUAAAGCUCCCCUGAUGUGGGGGAAUUAGCUCAAGUGGUAGAGCGCUUGCUUAGCAUGCAAGAGGUAGUGGGAUCGAUGCCCACAUUCUCCAAACUUUAUUAUUUAGACCCUGGGUCUCCAAACACUCAGGUCUCCAAACCCAAGUCAGAGAACAGGAUGCUGCUUUGGUUCAAGAUGUAGGAGCAGCAACAAUACAGGGCUGGUGACGGCUCCCUCCUGGCAUUCAGUAUAGUGUAGAUCUACCGUGUAAUUAAUUUUCUGCUUCUUUGAGGAGCUGUGAAACCAAGGGACAUAAACAAUUGCUCUUUUCUCCCUGUUUCUGCCUGUAGCUUGAAUGUGAGGCAACUGUGAAAAGUGCAGGGCAGAGCCACCUGGGUAAAUACAGCCCUGGCUUUCUGGUGAGAGGACUGAAACCAGGAUGUGUCAAGUAACUAGAAUGUGCCUGGACAGAUACUGUAGAAAGCAAACCCAUAAAGUUGUUCAUGAGCUUGUGGACGCACCUGCCAGCUGUGAAUAAGUGGGUCUAAUCCCAAACAACUUACCUAAAAAGAGCCUGAGGACUGAACUAAACAAUGGUCCACUUUCCAGUCCUCACUGACCACUGGUUGCACACACUCCAGAGAUCUCUCAUCCGCAGUGUCAAGGCUUUCAAAUAGAGUUAUCUGUGAAACAACAACACAUGGAAGUCUGGUUGGUACUUGGAGCUUAAAUACAAGGCAAUUGUGUGCCUGCAAAAACAAAAAGAGCAAUAUUAUCCUUAAGAUUUCAACAAGACACAGUGUCUCAUCACAUAAUCCAAAGAAGUCCAGGUUACAAGCCCCAAAAUAUUCAGCAUUAUGAAAAACCAGGGAGAUCUUAAUUCACAUGGCAAAGAGAAUCCUUGCAUAACAAUAUUGAGAGGACACAUAUGUCAAAAUCAUCUGACACAUACAUUAAAGCAGUUAUUAUAACAAUGCUCCUAGAAUUACGGGAUAGCAUUCAUGAAGUGAAUGGAAAGUUGGAAAGUCUCACCAAAUAUUUGGAAUAUGUAAACACCAAUUUAAACUUAAGAAUUAAAAAAAGUAUUAACCAAAACUAUUAGGGGAAAUAAAAAGCUUAAUUGGAUGAUCUCAAUAGCAGUAUGCAGAAGACUAAGGAAAAAGUCAAUGAACUUGAAAACGGAACAAGAAUACCUACAGAAUCUGACCUAUAGAAAGAAAGGAGGAUUUUAUUGUCCCUGAACAGAGGCUCAGGGACAAAUAAAAAAUAACAAAUCUAACAUUCACAUUAUUGUAAUCUGGAAACAUUCACAUUAUUGUAAGAGGACAAAGAGGUCUUUGUGGGAUAAAACUGUGAAGAAUUAAUGGCUGAAAAUGUAUCAAAUUUCUCAAAAGAUAUAAACCAGAUUUUUAAAGUUCAGUAAAUGUCAAGCAGGAUAAACCAAAAGAAACCCAUUGCAAGACAUAUCAUAAUCAAACUGCGGAAAAUUAAGAAAACACAAAACAAUUUUGAAAGCAGCCAAAGGGAAAUGAAAGAUAAAAUACCAAAUGAAUGAUUGUAGAUUUCUCAUCGGGAACCCAGGAGCCAGAAAAAAAUGUCAUAACAUUCAGUAAAUACCAAAGGAAAAAUACAUUAUCAACCCAGAAUGGUAUGUGGAGCAAAAGUAUCUUCCAGACAUAAAGGCAAAUAAAUGCAUUCUCAUUGGAAGGUAAAUAAAUACAUUCUCAGUCCUAGCAAAACUGCUGGAAAAGAAUUAGCAAAGGUUUGAGAUAAGAAAAGUGAUACCAGAAGGAAACUUAGAACAUCAUCAAUGAAGGAACAAAAGCAGAAAUAGAAAAUGUCUGGGUAGACAUAACAGACUAUUAUUCUUCUCUUGAGUUCCUUAAGGUAUGUUUGAUGGUUGAAAGCAAAAAUUGUAACUUUAUCUGAUGCAGUUGUCAUUGUAUCUAGAUGUACUACAUACAUAAGAUAAAAGGGUAAAUGUAAUGGGACUAACUCUUGAUGAAGUUUCUAUAUUCAACUUGAAUGGUAAAAUAUUGAUUCUUAGUAUACUGUGAAAAGUUAUAUAUGUAUAUGGUAAUCCCUAGACCACUUAACAACCAGAUUGAAAUAAACCAAAACAAGAUAGACAGAGGAACAUAGAAGAAUUAAAACAAAGGGAAAAAAGGUUAAUAAAUUAUUAAAUAGUAGAUCUAUCUAAAAACUUAUCUAUAAUAACAUUAUAUGUAAAUUAUCUAAAUGCAUUAAGUAAAAACUAGAGAUCAUCAGAAUGUGUUAAAAAUAAAUAUGCUGACUAAAGAAAGCCACCUGCAAUACACUUAUAAAUAAGAAUAAAAGUUAUAGAGCAGAUUGAAAGAAAAGAGUGGGAAAAGAUACCUCAUGCAAGCAUUAAUCAAAGACAGCUGUGGUGUAUAUAUAUAAAAUCAGACAAAGUAGAUUUGAAAGCAGAGAAACUUUUCAGGAAUAAUGAGGCCUCCUAAAUAAUUAUGAUUGUCAAUUUUUCAGGAGAAUAUUGUCCCAAAUGUAUAUGAGGACACAGAGCUUCAAAACUCAUAAACAAAAUUGGAUACGCCAAGUAAAAAUAGAAAAAUCCAGUUAUAGUUGCAGUCAUUAACACUCCUCUCUGAGUAAUUGGAAGAUUUAGUGGAACACAAAUCAACAGACAUACUGGAGAAUUGAACCAUGCCAUCCAGUAAUGGACCUAUCAAUUUCAUAAUGCAAAAUAAAAAUUCAGGUAGAAAGCAAAGACAAAAAUUAAAAGAAAAGCAAGAUCAUGUUAUAAUGAGAAAAUUAAGAGUAGUCCAGUGUAUAGAAGGGUGCUAUUAUUGAAAGAGUUUGAAAUAGUGACUUAGUUAUUUUGAAACAUUUUUGAAGACGUUAUUUAGCUGGAAAUGACAGAAAGACUGAAAAUGGUGAAUGUGGAGGUGGAUCUUCCCUUGUCCAUAUUUAUCUUGUCUUCGUUUGAGGUCUGGGGUGUCUAUACUUCCUCUGAAUUACCUGAUCUUACUACAGUGUCUGGCACAGAGCAUCUCCCCAGUGAAUAUGUACUAAAUGAGUAGAAAGUAAUUGAUAGAUUCAAAAGAGUUGUGCAAGAAUAAUGUUCAUUAUUUGACUAAUCACUGAAUGUGGUGUUUCAAGGAAGACAAUGAAUCAAAGUUGACUUGAAAGGUAAGCCCAGGGCCAGACGUGGUGGCUCAUUUCUGUAAUCCCAGCACUUUGGGAGGCCGAGAUCAGUGGAUCCCUUGACACCAGGAGUUUGAGACCAGCCUAGGCAACACAGUGAAAACCUGUCUCUACAACAAAUACAAAAAUUAGCCGGGUGUGGUGGUAUGCAUCUGUAGUUCCAGCUACUCAGGAGGCUGAGGUGGGAGGAUCGCUUGAACUCAGGAGGUGGAGGUUGCAGUGAACAGAGAACGCACCGGUACCUGGACAACAAAGUGAGACCCUGUCAUAAAAUAAAAUAGUUAAACCCAGGCCAGGAGGGGUGGCUCAUGCCUGUAAUCCCAGCACUUUGGAAGGCCAAGGUAGGCUGAUCACGUGACGUCAGGAGGUUGAGACCAGCCUGGCCAACAUGGUGAAACCCCGUCUCUACUAAAAAUACAAAAAUUAACCAAGCGUGGUGGCAGGCACCUGUAGUCCCAGCUACUCUGGAGGCUGAGACAGGAGAAUUACUAGAACCCGGGAGGCAGAGGUUGCAGUGAGCCAAGAUCUUACCAUUGCACUGCAGCCUGGGCGACAGAGUGACACUCUGUCGAAAAAAAAAAAAAAAAAAAAGUUAAGCCCAAAAAGUAAGUAAGGAAGAGGUUUGGAAUUAGAUAUUUGUUGUAUGAAUGAGUGAGCUAAAGUGCAAAAGAACGGGCAGAAUAACUGAGCUGGUACAGAGGGAAAAAAUCACAUUUAAAAUCUAAAAAUAUCUGCUUCUUAGUUCAGGCUUUCCCACUUAGCAGCUUUGGCACCUUAGGAACACUUAACUUAUCUGAGCCUCUAUUACUUCUAAAAAGUGCAUAAAGUGCAGACUAAGACAGUUUUUUUGGCAAAAUUCAGUCAGACUACAUCAAGUAAACUCCCUAAGUCUCCUAGUAUAAUUCAUGGCACAAAAAAUUGGGGAAAAAACAGGGAGGAUAUGAUUAUAAGUUCAGUUUAUGUUUUUUGUUGAGUGAAUGUCUCCAGUCAUAGAGAUGCAAGUGUAGAUACACAGUAAGAGUAGUAUGAAUGGGAGACACCUUGGAAGGCUAUUUCUUCCUUCCUUCAUUCAGUUGGUCACUCAGUGAACUAUCAUGAAUUGAGCACCGCCUCUGUUUCUUAUCAACAAAGGAGACUGCGGAAAAGAAGAGUGACUAAGAUCUCUGAAGAAGGGAAAAGCUAGAUGACUGGGCCACAAGAGGAAAAAAAGCAGCAAGACAGUUACAAUUGUUUCUGGUCCCACUUUUAUAAACACACACACACACACACACACACACACACACACACACAAAAUCAUUUAAUCAUUUUUAAGUAUUUAAUCAUUUUUUAAAAAUCUGUGAUGCUUUACCUGGGCAUGUCUAGGCAGGUCCUCCUUUGCUAGGACGUGCCCUUUUCUGUCCCGGAAUACUCUAAACUUGGCAUUUUGGCAGCGUGAAGUUUUCCCGUUGUGACUUUCUCCUUGUUCCCUUUUCUCCUCCUUCUUUGCAGACAAUGAGUAGCCACUGCUGUUUGCCCUGGCCCAUCAAUGAGAAGAUCUGCUCUUAGAGCCCUGCUUUCCUGCUGAAGGCCCUGAAAUCACCUGUGUUCCAGGCCACCUGCUAACAAUAAAUAAUGCUGCCCUGAUGUGGGGAAUUAGCUCAAGUGGUAGAGCGCUUGCUUAGCACGCAAGAGGUAGUGGGAUCGAUGCCCACAUUCUCCAAGCUUUAUUAUUUAGACAUCGUGUCUCCAAACACUCAGGUCUCCAAACCCAAGUUAGUGUCUGAGAACAGGAUGCUGCUUUGGUUCAAGACGUAGGAGCAGCAAUAAUAGAGGGCUGGUGAUGGCUCCCUCUUGGCAUUCAGUAUAGUGUAGAUCUACCAUGUAAUUAAUUCUCUGUUUCUUUGAGGAGCUGUGAAACCAAGGGACAUAUACAACUGCUCUUUUCUCCCUGUUUCUACCUGCAGCUUUGUCCUAAAUGUGAGACAAUUAUGAAAAGUGCAGCGCAGAGCCACUUGGGUAAAUACAGCCCCGGCUUUCUGCUCAGGGGACAGAGUUUGAGGCACUGCAGAGGAACCGGCCAAAGUAUGAGACCCAUAUAUUGAGAGUAACAGAGUGUAAAGUUCAAAAAAAUCAAAAUAUUUAAAGAUUUAUCAUGGGUCUUGAUGACAUGAUGGAAUCUCUCUACUCUCUGGACUUAUUAUGUGUGGUAAUAAAUUUACUUUUUAAAAGCCA
rnacentral:lncRNA from 1 species